rnacentral:rRNA from 1 species
AGGGCGUAUGGGGAAUGCCUAGGCACACUCCGGCGAAGAAGGACGCAGCAAACAGCGAAAUGCGACGGUGAGCGGUAAGCACGUGAAGAGCCGUCGAUAUCCGAAUGGGGGAACCCACACGGAGUCAUAUCCGUGUAUCACAUGUCGAAUACAUAGACAUGAUGAGGCGAGACGCAGGGAACUGAAACAUCUAAGUACCUGCAGGAAGAGAAAAUAAGAAUGAUUUUCUGAGUAGCGGCGAGCGAAAGGGAAAGAGCCCAAACCGAUCUUAGGAUCGGGGUAGUAGGAUCAUCGAGAAAUCUGACAGAGGAUCAUAGAGGAAUCACAUGGGAAGGUGAGCGAGAGAGGGUGAGAGCCCCGUACUCGAAAUGAGAGACUGGAGAGAGAUGACACCUGAGUAGGGCGGGACACGAGAAAUCCUGUCUGAAUCAGCCGGGACCAUCCGGCAAGGCUAAAUACGAGAGAGUGACCGAUAGUGAACCAGUACCGUGAGGGAAAGGUGAAAAGAACCCCGGGAGGGGAGUGAAAGAGAACCUGAAACCAUAUGCCUACAAGAAGUCAGAGCCCGUUAAAGGGUGAUGGCGUGCCUUUUGUAGAAUGAACCGGCGAGUUACUGUAUGGAGCGAGGUUAAGCAGGAUAUGCGGAGCCGAAGCGAAAGCGAGUCUUAAGAGGGCGAGAGUUGCAUGCAGUAGACCCGAAACCGGGUGAUCUAGCCAUGACCAGGUUGAAGUUGGGGUAAAACCCGAUGGAGGACCGAACCGACCCCCGUUGAAACGUUGGCGGAUGAGUUGUGGCUAGGGGUGAAAUUCCAAUCGAACCCGGAGAUAGCUGGUUCUCCCCGAAAUAGCUUUAGGGCUAGCGUCGAGGUAAGUUGCGUGAAGGUAGAGCACUGAAUAUGUGAUGGCCCCAUCUCGGGGUACUGAGCAUAAUCAAACUGCGAAUGUCACGCCAACAUGCUCGGCAGUCAGACAGCGGGUGAUAAGGUCCGUUGUCAAGAGGGAAACAGCCCAGACCAUCAGCUAAGGUCCCAAAAUGUAUGCUAAGUGGAAAAGGAUGUGGAGAUGUACAGACAACUAGGAGGUUGGCUCAGAAGCAGCCAUCCUUUAAAGAGUGCGUAACAGCUCACUAGUCGAAUGACUCUGCGCCGAUAAUUUACCGGGGCUAAGCAUACUACCGAAGCUAUGGAUCCCAAGGGAUGGUAGGGGAGCGUUCCAUGAACGGAGAAGUACGACCGAAAGGACGUGUGGAGAUCAUGGAAGAGAGAAUGCCGGUGUGAGUAGCGGAACGUGGGUGAGAAUCCCACGCACCGAAAACCCAAGGUUUCCAGAGGAAGGUUCGUCCGCUCUGGGUAAGUCGGGACCUAAGGCGAGGCCGAAAGGCGUAGUCGAUGGACAACAGGUAGAGAUUCCUGUACCCGUAUAUAUGUGAAGGAAUGACGGAGAGAGGAAGCUGCAGCCAGCGGCUGGAAGAGCUGGUGCAAGCGAGAUAUCGGGAUGGCAGGCAAAUCCACCAUCCGAAACGAGAAGGCGUGAAGCGUACGGAAAGCUACGGCGAGUACGGAAGGCAGUGGAGGAACUUCCAAGAAAAGUUUCUAACGUUAAGUAUAUAUGGCCCGUACCGAAAAUGGACACACAUGGGUGAGGAGAGAAUCCUAAGGUGAGCGAGAGAACUAUAGCUAAGGAACUCUGCAAAAUGACUCCGUAACUUAGGGAGAAGGAGUGCUCAUAGAGAUAUGAGCCGCAGUGAAACGGCCCAAGCGACUGUUUACCAAAAACACAGCUCUCUGCUAAGCCGCAAGGCGAAGUAUAGGGGGUGACGCCUGCCCGGUGCUGGAAGGUUAAGGGGAGGGGUUAACGCAAGUGAAGCCCUGAACUGAAGCCCCAGUAAACGGCGGCCGUAACUAUAACGGUCCUAAGGUAGCGAAAUUCCUUGUCAGGUAAGUUCUGACCCGCACGAAAGGCGUAACGAUUUGGGCGCUGUCUCAGCUGUAGACUCGGUGAAGUCUUAGUACCUGUGAAGAUGCAGGUUACCCGCGACUAGACGGAAAGACCCCAUGGAGCUUCACUGCAGGUUGAUAUUGGGAUUUGAUGCAGCAUGUACAGGAUAGGUAGGAGGCAAAGAGAUGGAUACGCCAGUAUUCAAGGAGCCGCUGUUGGGAUACUACCCCUGUUGUAUUGGAUUUCUAACCGGACGACGUAGAGCCGUUGACGGGACAGUGUCAGUCGGGCAGUUUGACUGGGGCGGUCGCCUCCCAAAAGGUAACGGAGGCGCUCAAAGG